rnacentral:rRNA from 1 species
AGCAGAACAUUCUGGAAAGUAUAACCAUAGAGGGUGAUAGUCCCGUAUGCGAAAAACAAACCUUAGCUAGCAGUAUCCUGAGUAGGGCGGGACACGAGGAAUCCUGUCUGAAUCCGGGUCGACCACGAUCCAACCCUAAAUACUAAUACCAGAUCGAUAGUGCACAAGUACCGUGAGGGAAAGGUGAAAAGAACUGAGGUGAUCAGAGUGAAAUAGAACCUGAAACCAUUUGCUUACAAUCAUUCAGAGCCCUAUGUAGCAAUACAGGGUGAUGGACUGCCUUUUGCAUAAUGAGCCUGCGAGUUGUGGUGUCUGGCAAGGUUAAGCAAACGCGAAGCCGUAGCGAAAGCGAGUCUGAAUAGGGCGCUUAGUCAGAUGCUGCAGACCCGAAACGAAGUGAUCUAUCCAUGAGCAAGUUGAAGCUAGUGUAAGAACUAGUGGAGGACUGAACCCAUAGGCGUUGAAAAGCCCCGGGAUGACUUGUGGAUAGGGGUGAAAGGCCAAUCAAACUUCGUGAUAGCUGGUUCUCUCCGAAAUAUAUUUAGGUAUAGCGUUGUGUCGUAAUAUAAGGGGGUAGAGCACUGAAUGGGCUAGGGCAUACACCAAUGUACCAAACCCUAUCAAACUCCGAAUACCUUAUAUGUAAUCACAGCAGUCAGGCGGCGAGUGAUAAAAUCCGUCGUCAAGAGGGAAACAACCCAGACUACCAGCUAAGGUCCCUAAAUCUUACUUAAGUGGAAAACGAUGUGAAGUUACUUAAACAACCAGGAGGUUGGCUUAGAAGCAGCCAUCCUUUAAAGAAAGCGUAAUAGCUCACUGGUCUAGUGAUUUUGCGCGGAAAAUAUAACGGGGCUAAAGU